CUCAGGGCAGCAAACACAGCUGCACAAAAAUCUGCCCACCCCAAAAUGGCGGCCGAGCUGAAGCGAAAGGACACGUCACCUGCGCGCAGCCCCCGCCCUUACGCACAAAAUGGCUUCCAGCUCCCCGGGGUGCGGAAGAAAUUUAUUUCUCAGGGAAGCGAAGAGAGUUGCGCAAAAACACCUCCCCCCAUACACCCCCCAAAAAUGGCGGCCGAGCUGAAGAGAAAGGAGACGUCACCUGCGCGCAGUCCCCGCCCUUACGCACAAAAUGGCUUCCAGCUCGCUGAGGCGGGGGGGGUGGCGGAAACACUGUGAGGAAAAGGGGCUGAGGGGUAAUCUUGUAGUUUGUACGCGCAUCGACCGCAGACGACUUAAGUAGAUUUUCAGAUGAGUAAGGUUUACCUCUAUAUUUUUCCGUCUGUGAGGCUGGCAGGAAAUAGUCUAUUGCCAGGAAAGGUUAGUAUUAUACAUGUGAAAUAAUGAUCUUCAUAGGAGUAGAAUGUGUAUAAUUAUUAAGAGAUUUGUAUAUUCUACAACAUUGGCAAAAUAUGUUCAUCCUAAAUUAAGGCAACAGCCUAGGGCAGUGACUAAAAUGCUGUCUGCCUAUUAAAUCACUGAAUGAUACUAUCUUAAUUCAUAAAUAUAUGAAAAUUACAUAGACUAAUUCAGUGUAACAGUGAACAUGCUCAAUAUAUCUAUGUAAAAUGUUGGUAAUGUGGGAAUGUUCUUUUUGCACAGAGUUACAUUGUUUAAAGGUAAGGAAUGUGGUAUGGAGAUAUGCUUGCAGUGAUAAGAAAACUUAGCAGACGACCUUGUAAAAAAGACAACCAGACUCCUUAGAGCAAUUAGGUGAAAAUCACGGUGUCAAGUCAGAUAAGUGAAGAAACAUUACCAUUUCAAACAGUAAAAAAGUAGAAAGAAAUUUGAAAAUUAACAGGCCAGCAACUGAAGGCCGUGUAUUGUCUCUGAAGCAUCAGAUAGGUUGUGAACCUGGAUUACCCAGUCUAUGGGGAAACAGGGGAGGGUCCCAGUCAUC